rnacentral:rRNA from 1 species
AGAGUUUGAUCCUGGCUCAGGAUGAACGCUAGCGGCAGGCCUAACACAUGCAAGUCGAGGGGUAACAGGGAAGCUUGCUUCCGCUGACGACCGGCGCACGGGUGCGUAACGCGUAUACAAUUUACCUUUUGCUACGGGAUAGCCCAGAGAAAUUUGGAUUAACACCGUAUAGUAUUAUAACAUGGCAUCAUGAAAUAAUUAAAGGUUACGGCAAGAGAUGAGUAUGCGUCCUAUUAGCUAGAUGGUGUGGUAACGGCACACCAUGGCAACGAUAGGUAGGGGUCCUGAGAGGGAGAUCCCCCACACUGGUACUGAGACACGGACCAGACCCCUACGGGAGGCAGCAGUGAGGAAUAUUGGACAAUGGGCGCAAGCCUGAUCCAGCCAUGCCGCGUGCAGGAAGACGGCCCUAUGGGUUGUAAACUGCUUUUAUACAGGAAGAAACACCUUCUCGUGAGAGGGCUUGACGGUACUGUAAGAAUAAGGAUCGGCUAACUCCGUGCCAGCAGCCGCGGUAAUACGGAGGAUCCAAGCGUUAUCCGGAAUCAUUGGGUUUAAAGGGUCCGUAGGUGGGCUGCUAAGUCAGAGGUGAAAUCCCACAGCUUAACUGUGGCACUGCCUUUGAUACUGGUAGUCUUGAGUCAUUAUGAAGUGGUUAGAAUAUGUAGUGUAGCGGUGAAAUGCUUAGAUAUUACAUAGAAUACCGAUUGCGAAGGCAGAUCACUAAUAAUGUACUGACACUGAUGGACGAAAGCGUGGGUAGCGAACAGGAUUAGAUACCCUGGUAGUCCACGCCGUAAACGAUGGUUACUAGCUGUUUGGACUUCGGUCUGAGUGGCUAAGCGAAAGUGAUAAGUAACCCACCUGGGGAGUACGUCGGCAACGAUGAAACUCAAAGGAAUUUGACGG